rnacentral:lncRNA from 1 species
CACUGCUGGAAGCUCCUGUUCUCUGGGCCUGGACAUUGUGUCCCCAAGCCUAGCACACGCCUGGCAUGGGUGGGUGCUCAGAAGUGUCUAUUGGUCUGUUGUGGUCCUUCCUGUCCAGGAGCUCUGGGAUGGGAGUGGACUGUGUGGGGAGUGUGGGACAGACAUGAACUUGACCCCCUUACAGAGUGACAGGAUGGUGACAGGGCUAAGCCACGGACUGGGAGCCAAACCCGGACAACUCCAGCCUUGGCCCAGGAGUCUGGCCUCAGCAUGGGUCCUCCAGGGGGCGCAGCUCAGCACCGGCUUUGGGGAGAUUCCAGGUGCCUGGACUCACAGACCAAGGUGGUCACUCCCCACUGGGACUGGUCACCUACAGUCACUGGCAGGUGAGUUCAGGGAGACGGGUAACCCAGCCCCAGUACCGACGCUCCAGAGGGCGGCCCAGGACCUGGCGUGACUCAGCCCCAGAAGAGGCCUCUGCAACUCCUUUUCUAGGGCCUGAACAGAACAGAAAGUGGAGGAAGGAAGAACUCGCCCUCCCUGCCUGAUGACUCGAGCUGGGACAUUGAUCUUCUUCUGGCCUCGCGCUCCUGGUUCCCAGGCCUUUGGACUUGGACCGGACUUCACCAGCUUCCCUGUGUCUCUACCUAGAAGACGGUGGAACUUCUCAGCCUGCGUAACUGUGUGAGCC